rnacentral:tRNA from 1 species
GCGCCGCUAGCUCAGCUGGAUAGAGCGUCUGACUACGGAUCAGAAGGCCAGGAGGUCGAAUCUAUUGCGGCGCGCCA